AAAAAGCGGAGGAAAAGAAACCAACAGGGAUUGCCCUAGUAACGGCGAGUGAAGCGGCAACAGCUCAAAUUUGAAAUCUGGCCCCCGUGGUCCGAGUUGUAAUUUGUAGAGGAAGCUUUUGGUGAGGCACCUUCCGAGUUCCCUGGAACGGGACGCCAUAGAGGGUGAGAGCCCCGUCUGGUUGGAUGCCGAUCCUCUGUAAAGCUCCUUCGACGAGUCGAGUAGUUUGGGAAUGCUGCUCUAAAUGGGAGGUAUAUGUCUUCUAAAGCUAAAUAUUGGCCAGAGACCGAUAGCGCACAAGUAGAGUGAUCGAAAGAUGAAAAGCACUUUGAAAAGAGGGUUAAAUAGUACGUGAAAUUGUUGAAAGGGAAGCGCUUGUGACCAGACUUGGGCUCGUUCAAUCAUCCAGGGUUCUCCCUGGUGCACUUGGCCGGCCCAGGCCAGCAUCAGUUCGUCGCGGGGGAUAAAGGCGUCGGGAAUGUGGCUCCCCCGGGAGUGUUAUAGCCCCUCGCGCAAUACCCUGCCUCGGACUGAGGUUCGCGCAUCUGCAAGGAUGCUGGCGUAAUGGUCAUCAGCGACCCGUCUUGACC
rnacentral:rRNA from 1 species